GAGUGAACGCUGGCGGUAGGCCUAACACAUGCAAGUCGAACGGCAGCACAGUAAGAGCUUGCUCUUACGGGUGGCGAGUGGCGGACGGGUGAGGAAUACAUCGGAAUCUACUUUUUCGUGGGGGAUAACGUAGGGAAACUUACGCUAAUACCGCAUACGACCUACGGGUGAAAGCAGGGGAUCUUCGGACCUUGCGCGAUUGAAUGAGCCGAUGUCGGAUUAGCUAGUUGGCGGGGUAAAGGCCCACCAAGGCGACGAUCCGUAGCUGGUCUGAGAGGAUGAUCAGCCACACUGGAACUGAGACACGGUCCAGACUCCUACGGGAGGCAGCAGUGGGGAAUAUUGGACAAUGGGCGCAAGCCUGAUCCAGCCAUACCGCGUGGGUGAAGAAGGCCUUCGGGUUGUAAAGCCCUUUUGUUGGGAAAGAAAAGCAGCAGGUUAAUACCCCGCUGUUCUGACGGUACCCAAAGAAUAAGCACCGGCGAACUUCGU
rnacentral:rRNA from 1 species